GGAGCUAAUCCCUUAAAGCUACUCUCAGUUCGGAUUGUAGGCUGAAACUCGCCUACAUGAAGCUGGAGUUACUAGUAAUCGCAGAUCAGAAUGCUGCGGUGAAUGCGUUCCCGGGUCUUGUACACCCCGCCCGUCACACCACGGGAGUUGGAGACGCCCGAAGCCGAUUAUCUAACCUUUUGGAAGAAGUCGUCGAAGGUGGAAUCAAUAACUGGGGUGAAGUCGUAACAAGGUAGCCGUAUCGGAAGGUGCG
rnacentral:rRNA from 1 species